UCCAUCCAUCUGGCCUUGCUGGGUAUCCUGAACACUGUCUCUUGAAGAAGGAUGUGCAAUAUCUGGGAACAAAUGAACUGUUGAACCAACAGGCCCCUUUGCUGUUGCUAUAAAGUGUACACCAUGCUAUUGGGUGAACCAAGAACAUCUUUCUCCAACAUGGAUCCCUCCAGACAUAUGGGAUUACAACUUCUAUCAGUCCUUCCAAGAUGGUUACUUGGACCUGGCAAAAUUCCUCCCAUCCCCAGAUAAGCUGUAGUUUUUCUCCUCCUUCAUCUGUACAAGCACCAAGGCUUUUUUCAGCAUGGUUGUUGGGUGUACCAUUGGAAGAUCUGAAGGACCAGAAUGGAGACAGAUCAUCCUGGAGAAAAUCUAUGUAGCUGCUAAGAGUUGACACCAACAGGAUGGCACAUAAUCAAUCACACCUCUCUCCUGAUUAAUAAAAAGCAUUGC